CCUACGGGUGGCAGCAGUGGGGAAUAUUGGACAAUGGGGGGAACCCUGAUCCAGCCAUGCCGCGUGUGUGAAGAAGGCCCUCGGGUUGUAAAGCACUUUCAGUGAGGAAGAACGCCUGGUGGUUAAUACCCAUCAGGAAAGACAUCACUCACAGAAGAAGCACCGGCUAACUCCGUGCCAGCAGCCGCGGUAAUACGGAGGGUGCGAGCGUUAAUCGGAAUUACUGGGCGUAAAGCGCGCGUAGGUGGCUUGAUAAGCCGGUUGUGAAAGCCCCGGGCUCAACCUGGGAACGGCAUCCGGAACUGUCAAGCUAGAGUUCAGGAGAGGAAGGUAGAAUUCCCGGUGUAGCGGUGAAAUGCGUAGAGAUCGGGAGGAAUACCAGUGGCGAAGGCGGCCUUCUGGACUGACACUGACACUGAGGUGCGAAAGCGUGGGUAGCAAACAGGAUUAGAUACCCCAGUAGUC
rnacentral:rRNA from 1 species